rnacentral:rRNA from 1 species
AGUGAACGCUGGCGGUAUGCCUAACACAUGCAAGUCGAACGGCAGCACAGUAAGAGCUUGCUCCUACGGGUGGCGACUGGCGGACGGGUGAGGAAUACAUCGGAAUCUUCUUUUUCGUGGGGGAUAACGUAGGGAAACUUACGCUAAUACCUCAUACGACCUACGGGUGAAAGCAGGGGAUCUUCGGACUUUGCGCGAUUGAAUGAGCCGAUGUCGGAUUAGCUAGUUGGCGGGGUAAAGGCCCACCAAGGCGACGAUCCGUAGCUGAUCUGAGAGGAUGAUCAGCCACACUGGAACUGAGACACGGUCCAGACUCCUACGGGAGGCAGCAGUAGGGAAUAUUGGGCAAUGGGCGCAAGCCUGAUCCAGCCAUGCCGCGUGGGUGAAGAAGGCCUUCGGGUUGUAAAGCCCUUUUGUUGGGAAAGAAAAGCAGCAGAUUAAUACCCCGCUGUUCUGACGGUACCCAAAGAAUAAGCACCGGCUAACUACGUG